CCUACGGGAGGCUGCAGUGAGGAAUAUUGGUCAAUGAGCGCGCGCCUGAACCAGCCAAGUAGCGUGAAGGAUGACUGCCCUACGGGUUGUAACCUUCUUUUAUAAAGGAAUAAAGUGAGGCACGUGUGCCUUUUUUUAUGUACUUUAUGAAUAAGGAUCGGCUCACUCCGUGCCAGCAGCCGCGGUAAUACGGUGGAUCCGAGCGUUAUCCGGAUUUAUUGGGUUUACAGGGAGCGUAGAUGGGUUGUUAAGUCAGUUGUGAAAGUUUGCGGCUCAACCGUAAAAGUGCAAUUGAUACUGGCAGCCUGGAGUACAGUUGAGGUAGGCGGAAUUCGUGGUGGAGCGGUGAAAUGCUUAGAUAUCACGAAGAACUCCGAGUGCGAAGGCAGCUUACUAAACUGCCACUGACAUUGAUGCUCGAAGGUGUGGGUAUCAAACAGGAUUAGAUACCCGAGUAGUC
rnacentral:rRNA from 1 species